CUAAGAAAUGCUUUAAGAAGUGCCGAUAAAGGUGCUCUAACAAGAUGUGACCUGCUAAAAAAAUAUGUGACCUGCGAUUAAAUAGUCCAAAUAAAUGCAUAGACGAAAACGAAAUCCAUAGCUAAUCAUAUAAACGUUAUCAUAUGAAUGGGGGACUUGAGUGCGGUGCGUAUUUGUAAUUAUGAAACAGAAAACGCACUAAGUUCCCAAUCACACAUACAUGCUAAAGUGGGACGUAUUUUACGUAAAAAACGCACUUGUCAAAAACAAAAACAAUUUUUUUUGGUUUGUUCACCAUUUUGCAAAAACGCACUUGGAAUACAUACCACACUCUUCACGUAGCGGUCCACCAAAUUUCGCACCAAUAAAGAAAGAUAAAUAUUGUUAUUCAUAUUUACACUUUUCAGUUAUUUUUUUGUUUUGAGAAAAAAGUACUCUUAAAAGUUUUGAACCAUAUUUUUUAAUCAGAUUUGUGAGACAGAUACUAUAUAAACUUAAUAAAAGCAUAUAUUAUACGUGAUAGUCUUUACUUACUUUAACGUCAUAUAUAUUUCAACUGAACUUGUUAAUAAUUAUUAGAAAUAGUUUUUCAAAAUAUUUGAUUAAAAAGAUAGAAAAAUAAAAAAUAAUAACCAAAAUUUUUAUUAUUAAAUAUAGGUCUAUAUAGCCAUGUGUAUAUUUAUCCGAAACCGAAAAAUCAAACCGAACUAAACCAAAUAUUUUUCAGAUCGCUUCGGAUUUGGAUCAUACCAAUUAUCCGAACAAAUCUUAUAUCUCUAAAACUCAACAAUCAGAACAAAAUUUUAUAUUUCACAUUAUUUUAAUAUUUAUCUAGCAAAACCAAAAAAAAUAGAUCAGACCGAACGUGUGUACCGGUCAAACUGCGAUUCAUUUAUCUAUUCGGUUAAAAACAAUGUUUUGAAAAUCGGAUUGUACCUUGACUCAGUUUUGUAGUUGGGUCUGGGAACAAUUCAACCGAUUUUUUUUAUUAUAAUAUAGUUUUCAGUUGAGUAAUUGUAUAUAUGUAUAAUAACUAUAAAAUUUUAUACCAUUGUCAAAAUAUAAAAAAUGUAGAGAAAACAAAAUAAAAUUUUCAAAAAUAGCAUUGUCUAUAAUGUUUUUAUUGUAUUUUAAUUAAUUUUUAUUUUAUAUAUUUAAUUUAAAUGUUUAAUUCAUAUGAAUUUUGGUAUUUAAAUUUCAAAAAAAAGAUUUACACCAUUAACAACACUAAAUAGAAAAUUUUAACUUUAAAUUAUAUUGAUUGUAUUGAUAUAUAACAUUUUUACUUUUUUUAAACACUCUUUAAUUGUUCAAUUCCGCAAACAAUAUAUUUUACCAAUCAACACAAUUCCGCACCGCUAAUUUUAUUAAAACCACACUUAUCCCGCAAACCGCAUGAACCGCAGUUAGACCGUUCCGCACUUCAAUUCCGCACCGCUUAUAUUACCAGAUUCGCUGUUCCCAAUCGGAGCCAAUUAGUUCAACAUCUAUUACUAUAAAGAAAGGUUUUUUCUCUCCUGCUGACCCGUAUGAUGCCAGCGCAACAAUUCGUUUAACCACGUACUGACACGUGUCCAAGUCUCUCAAAACACACCGUAUCAAUUACUCGAUGACAUCUUGGGCUUCGCUGUGGCCAGCCCAGAAAAGAAAGAAGGCGACAUCUCUCUAACCCUAAUACAGCUUAGGAGAAAACACGAAGAUUGACUAUCCUCUUCGUGCGGCCAGAGGCGAUGACGUUUGCGCUCCAUCUCAUUACUGAAACUGUUGCAUCACUCACCGUAUCCUUACUUGCCUCGAGUCUGUUGUUGGGUUUUGCUUUUACGAUUGAAGUGCUGAAUAUCAUGGCGAUGUUCUUCUUACUGAUUUGAGGAUGAAUAGCGAAGAAAUCUUAUCUCCUCCUAGCCAGUUCUUCAGCUGAGAAUUUGGGAGACCAGAAACGUAGAGAGAAGCUGUUAAGAGUAUGGUCGUGGACAUGCCCUCGCUUUCAUUACACGACACCUCCGUGAUCCGGAAUCAUUUAUCCGAUGAGUCUGCGUCGCAGCUGUGUGGGCGAUCUCUUCCCGGACGACGAGGCUUUCUUUUGUUUCUGUAUUCACGAAGCUGUAUACGGACACGCUUUUGACAUAGCAGGAGGUUAAUACGCAGAACAGAGAAGCGUUGUGUCAUGUGGAGGCGACUGAUGUUACGGAGGAUCCAGUUCGGUUAAGACAUGUGUUUCUUCCUAAGCUGGAGAAGUGUAAAGCUUUUAAGGCGAGUUCGGUGGGAAUGGUUAUGAACGGAAGUGUGAUUGGUGAUGGAGGAGCUACGGGAGCUCCGAUGGAUUAUUUAGUUAGCUUCUUGAAGAUUUGGGCGGCAAGGAAAGCAGCCGCCGAGGCCUUAGAGAGGUUUGCCACAGUGGAAAUAAAUGAUUUAGGAGAGUACAAAGCCAAGUCUUUGAAGAUCUUCAAAAGCAAGAAAUGUUUCGAUCUGUGUAUCUUUUUCAAAUUUGUGCUCAGCCUUGAGGUGUUAAAGGUAUGAUUGUAUUUACUUAUUCUUCCUGCUAUUGAGUAGUACUAAAUAAUAAGAUUUUUUAUUUUGUUGUUUUAGUUUUUCUAUGAAUGUAACAUUGUAAAUGUCUUCACUUGGUAUCAAGGUCAGCGAGAGAGUGAGAGUAUCAUUGUACUAGAUUUAGUUGUUGGAACCAUCCACACCAUUCUUGGUACAUUGUAAAGUGGUUGGAGUUGUUUAUUGGUUUGGUUUUUAAUUUCUUUUGGUUGGCCUGCAA